rnacentral:rRNA from 1 species
CUUUCUUUGCUGGCGACCGGCGCACGGGUGAGUAACACGUAUCCAACCUGCCCUUUACUCGGGGAUAGCCUUUCGAAAGAAAGAUUAAUACCCGAUAGCAUAAUGAUUCCGCAUGGUUUCAUUAUUAAAGGAUUCCGGUAAAGGAUGGGGAUGCGUUCCAUUAGGUUGUUGGUGAGGUAACGGCUCACCAAGCCUUCAAUGGAUAGGGGUUCUGAGAGGAAGGUCCCCCACAUUGGAACUGAGACACGGUCCAA